GAAAAAAGAAAAUUUUCCUUCCUUCUUCCUCCCGUGCGUCCUCCAUCCCUUUCUCCUUCCCGUACCCUAGCAGCCGCACAUCCCUCUCUUCUCCGUUCACCCAGUCGGCCACACAAGCUGCCGGUCGUUUCUUCUUCUUUCCGGUCGUCUUCCUUUUCUCCUUCGGAUCGAAACCGCCGCGCCCAUUCGCUCACAACCGCCGUGCCUCUCCGCUCACAACCGUCGUGCCUCCCUCGGAAAGCAAAUCGUCGUCCAGAUCUGCAUCGCCGAGCCGUCUAGGUCCUCGCCGCCGCAUGUGCUUCACCCUUGCAGUUCGCCGUAACCCAGAUCCGUCGCUGCAAUCGUCGGUCGGUUCGUGAAGCAAGCCGUACGCGUCACCUUGCAGCAGUCGUCCAGAUCUGCGUCGCCGUGCCCAUUCCUUUCCUCUCCGUUCGUGAAGACCUGCUGCGCAAUCUCUGUCUCCGUCGAAGCCAAGCUCAGCCGCCGCCCGUUCCUUUCUUCUUCGUUUUCUACACUGCCGCGCGACUCUCCGACCGCGUCUGUCUUCACCUCCGUGAAGCCGUCGACGCAUACAUCUCGUGAAGUCAUACACGGAUCCAAGCCGAUCUCUUCCUAAAUUACGUGUCCCCUAUCAAGUCGACGUUCUUCUGCUCGUUGUAAGACGGAGUUACGAUUUGAAGCCGAUUUUCUUUUCCAGUUGAGUCGCAUUCAGUGUUGCUCUAUUUACAGCCGCUUGAUUCGUUCUUGAUUGUCAUUUUUGCCUCGCCGUGAACCAUUGGGCUCAUAUUUGGGUAAGAACAAGUUAUGGUUUUUGUUGGUUUCUUGGUUUUUGUUGAAUGCUGCCAUUGGAUUUAAUUGUUGGCGAAAUGCUUAAUUCUUGAAGGUACAUCUUGAUUCAGUGAGCGAAUCCUUGAUUUUCCAAAAGGUUGAAGUGGACUUGAUUUUCCACUUCUUGGGUAAGUUGUGGAAUUUACAUAUGGGGUAAUUUGAAUGGUUGAAACUAUUUAGAAAGAUGUUGAUUUUAUGAUUGAUUAUGUUUAGGAUUUGAUUCAUUGGAUUUAGUAGAUUGAAGAACUUGCAUAAAAGUGAGGUAAGGGAUUUUAUUUUCUACUGGACUCACCUAUGCUUUUGAAUUGUAAUGUUAGUCACCUCUGAUUGAGUAAAUGUGUUGAGACAAUAUAUAUAUACGUAUGGAUGUAGGUUCGGUGUUGAAUGUAUACUGUGGAUGACUGAAAAUAUAUAUAUACACAUGGAUUGAAGUAGACUUGAUGUUGAAUGCAUAUUGUGAUUGUCUUGGAAUAUAUAUAUGUGUGUGGAUGUAGACAGGACAACAAUUGUAGAUUGUGUUUGUAUGAGAUGCGGAUGUGAACUUGUGAUUGUCGUUUAGACUGGGUGUACGUUAUACUAAAGUAUGACUGUGUGCUGGUGAACUGAGAGGCGUUAUGACUAUAUAGUUUGAUUGACUGACGUAUUAGUAUGUUACUGACAGACAUUGGGCUAAAGUGAGAUAAGUUGACUGUUAGAACGUUGAGUGAAAGAACUUUAUAUUUUGAAGUAACUGAAAGAUGGUACGAAUGGAUUGAGGGGAAAAAUUGUUAGCUUUUAUUCGGAUGUGUGCUUUGUAGGUGUCCCACGGGAUCACCAAUUAUUCUGCACCUUCGGGAGCAUUAGACUGAUAUGUGUUUCUGCAGGACACUACACUGGAAUGUACGUCCCUCGAGGCGUUAGACUGAAAUGUGCAUCCUACGGGAUCACAAGACUGCGACUGUACAGGGUGUCCCAAUAGAAUGUUAACAAUUUAUUUUUCCCUGACGGGACCAGUAGAGGGUCUCUUACUGGGUAUUUUUAUACUCACCCUUCUUAUGUUUAAUUUUCAGGCAAAGGUAAUAAAGGCGGCAAACCGGCGAGGGGCAGGAAGGAAGCGUGAUUGCCAUAGGAAAUGUGUUAUUUUGCUU
rnacentral:lncRNA from 1 species